CACGUAGGGCGCAAGCGUUGUCCGGAAUUAUUGGGCGUAAAGAGCUCGUAGGCGGUCUGUUGCGUCUGCUGUGAAAACCCGGGGCUUAACCCCUGGCUUGCAGUGGAUACGGACAGACUAGAGGUAGGUAGGGGAGAAUGGAAUUCCCGGUGUAGCGGUGAAAUGCGCAGAUAUCGGGAGGAACACCGGUGGCGAAGGCGGUUCUCUGGGCCUUACCUGACGCUGAGGAGCGAAAGCGUGGGGGAGCGAAACAGG
rnacentral:rRNA from 1 species